GUGCUUGCUCUGGCAGCACACACACUAAAAAAUUGGAACGAACAGAGAUUAAUAGCCCCUGUGCAAGGAUGACAUACAAAUUUGUGAAGCGUUUCAUAGGUUU